rnacentral:tRNA from 1 species
GCGCGGCAUUCGGCUCGGACGGUUUAUCGCGAAAUUUUAGUAUCCAAUGUGACGAGCAAAUGCGAACGAUUAGAUGCCAUUUAAAUGUGUAACGGUCGAACCAAUCUCGGCGUGUAGCUUCGUGAAUCUCGAGAUCGCAAUAGCACAAAAAGGCCCCGGAGGGAUUCGAACCCUCGAUCUCCUGUUUACUAGACAGGCGCUUUAACCAACUAAGCCACGGCGCCGUUGAAGGACAGUUCUCACACAUCGGAUUUCUUAUACGCGAAUUAGUUCCCAUCUCCCAUGUCGUGUUCCCAAUUCUCGAGUCUUGACGAAGGUACAUUGCCGAGGAAAGAUGUCGGACAGUGAUUCACCGGGACGCUCGGGCGCACAGGGGCGAGUCGUUCGUUUUCGCGGGGGACAAUCGAAGUUCCGGCGAAGUUAAUCAAUCGAUCCGGAAGACCCGUGAGAAUCGGGCAGGGAGUGGGCAGCCGGCGGCUGCCCGUAUUUGAUUGUUUAAUUAGCAAGAUGACCCGGUCGUACCCCAGCGGGGAUUCUCGAAGGAGCUCGAGUUAGACGGGAAGCAGCAUCGAGGAGGAAAAGGUGGAGUGACACAGGGAGACAGAGAAUGCAAGGGAGAAAGAGAAAGAGGGAAAGAGACAUAGAGAGAACGCGCACGAAACGAGCACGUUGAGGAACGGCAGAGGGUGCGAGAAACCGAAGACAUCGGAAGGAGAUAUAACCAGAGCGAGUCAGCCGAAGACUGUCGCUGAGAACGGGGAGGCGAGAGGAGGAUGUGUGCUCCCGAGGAGAGAUACAGUGGAACUCUGGCGAGAGGUAGGAUGGAGUAGGGAGGAGGAGGACGACGGGGCUGGAUUUCUGGUGUAUAGGGGUAUUAAUCCCUACCCUCAAUUACCCUUUGUCUUGGGCGCAGCUUGGUCCACUUGUUAAGACACCGCCACUGUUUGUCUUGAGGAGCAGGUAAGGGCGCCCCCGGAGCGGUCGCGGAGGUCUGCCGGCUGUUUCGGUCGCUGCUUUACAUACGUCCGUGAGACCGGAGACGAACUGCUACCGGGAAGGACUACUGAUCGUUGCGGUCUCGCCUCUGCCCUUGAUAGAAGUUCGCUAGCGAAGUUCCUGCCUCGCGGCCGCCUUAAGGGAUACCGCUCGUGCCGCUACUGAUAUCCUUGCUCUCGCGUGAUCCGUGGCCUUUUCGUGGACUCGAUCCUAGUGUUGACUUUUCUUGAAAUUAUUUUAAAUUCGACAAGUAUGAUAACAACAUUUCAUAGUAAAUUAUUUUUAUAAGACAGAUAUGUCAGCUCUGAAAUCUAAAAAAGUAAAUCAUUUAUCAAGUUUAGUAGCUUUGGGGGGUUUAUGUCACGUCUUCUAAAUGUUCAGAUUACUUCUAAAUGUUUUUGAAGUAAUUUGAAGAUUUUACAUUUUUGAAUUACUGCGUUACGAUAUCAUUUAAUGCUGUAAUCAAAGAAGUCGCGGUUUACCGAGACUCGCCAGAAGAGAAAAAAAAAAGAAAAAGACGAGUCGCCUCAUUGGAUUCGGCAAGGUCGAGAGGCUGAACGGAAGUCGACUACCUCCAAUUUAUCCCCGAGGGUAGGAAGCAAAGAGGGAACGGCGUGAAAACCGAAAGAGUCGACGAGCAGAUUUAUCCGCGUCGCGGUAAUUUCCUCAGAUUUUCCGUCCGUAUUAUUUGUUCGACAUCGGGCCGGCAAGGAGCAUAGCGGCAGAACGAAGGGUGCGUCGUCCGUUUCUUUACACUGCGAAGAAUAUCAAUUGUUAGAAAUACAAAGGGUGAGAGAAUGACGGGGUCGGAGGGGCGAAGAAAUCGUCUUCGUCGUUUGGGGUAAGAAGGAACCGCCAGCGUAGCGCGAUAUAGUAUAUAGAAGAGAGCGGUGUGGGGUGUGCGCAGCCUGUGGCACACCACCCCUGUACAAACCAAAUUCUUAAGAGAAUUUAACCGUUUGAAUAGCUCGCAAAUCCAUUGCAAAUGUUUACACGGGAUUGGCGCGCGAGCGGACUUCCUUCUCUUUCUGCCUGAUUCCGCUCGCAAUCGCGAUAUCUGACUCCCUGCUUUCGGGAUUCGAAGGCAUUCGGCCGGGUUUUCUAAGAUUUCUGACACGCGUCCGUUUUCGUUUGCCUGAUUGUGCUUACAGUAUAGAAACGAUUUUAGCUCUCUUUUAUUGAGUUGUUUAUAAUGUUACAAUAUAUAACAAUGCAUGUAUACUUUCUAAUUAGUUUUAUCAUUGUAUUUAAUAUAUUUAUCUAAUAAUCAUCUUUUCUAUAUUGUAAGAGAAAAAAAAGAUUAUUUUCUUGUGACUUAAAAUACGUACAAAAUAAUUUGAUAUUCUAACGUUACUAAGGCUAAAUUUGACAAUUGGCCGAGAGUUAAAUCGUCGUUUCUCGGGAAUCGAAGUUGGGAUGUAUGCACAAGGUGAAAGGAAUACGGCUUAUUUGCGUGCUACCGAAAAGUUUCUGGAAGCAGCGGGCGUUGCAUGCACCAGCAUUAAUAAUUACUUUACAACUGAUUCUUUUUUUUUCCAUUUCAUUUCAUUUUUCAGCGGCACGGUCGCGGCAGCCACCGAGCAGUUAAGGCGCUGUGCAUACGGUAACGCCUUCUGUUGUAUAUUAAUAGCUCGUAUCAUGCUAUAUUAUUAUUUUAGUUCGUUAAUCCGAUGUCGCAUGCUCAGGCGGAAUUGCUGUGCAGUUUGUUCCUAUACCUACAAUGUUUGCACUUAAUCAUACGAAUUUUCGCGCAAAUAAUACGUGACUACAAUACAUUUGACAACAUUAUCUGUUUCUCAAUUUGCUAAUAAGUUGUAAAAUAUGCGUUAUCAUGAUACAAGAUGGGAGUGCGAUAUCCCUGAGUCUGAAAUUUUCGCCGAAAGUGGAGUAGGUGAACGAUGCCUUCGGUAGUGGCAACACACACACAUAUCGGUUGACCUCAAACCUGUAUAUAUAUAAAUCGCAACGUACUGCCUCCUCAAUCUUGUCAAGCUGCAUCGCCCCGUAAACGUAACUCGCAGGCCUUGCCACCAAAACCGCGCCAUUCUGCAUUCAUAAGUUCGCUGCCUUUCUGCGUUCUGCAUUCUGAAUUACGUUUGUGAAUUUCUCUUUAAUAAGGACAAUAUAUCGAAAACAGUUUCGUAUUUCAAA